CAUUUAGUUGGGCACUCUAAUGAGACUGCCGGUGAUAAACCGGAGGAAGGUGGGGACGACGUCAGAUCAUCAUGCCCCUUAUGACCUGGGCAACACACGUGCUACAAUGGGAAGUACAACGAGUCGCAAACCGGCGACGGUAAGCUAAUCUCUUAAAACUUCUCUCAGUUCGGACUGGAGUCUGCAACUCGACUCCACGAAGGCGGAAUCGCUAGUAAUCGCGAAUCAGCAUGUCGCGGUGAAUACGUUCCCGGGUCUUGUACACACCGCCCGUCAAAUCAUGGGAGUCGGAAGUACCCAAAGUCGCUUGGCUAACUUUUAGAGGCCGGUGCCUAAGGUAAAAUCGAUGACUGGGAUUAAGUCGUAACAAGGUAGCCGUAGGAGAACCUGCGGCUGGAUCACCUCCUUUCUAAGGA
rnacentral:rRNA from 1 species